rnacentral:lncRNA from 1 species
UUAAGGAUCUGGCUUCUGGUGAAAAAUUCAAGCCUAGAGAAAACUUGUCCGCUUUGUUAGGAAGAAUGGGUUGGACAAUUUUCUUCAAUUCCACAGGAUAUCUGAGUGCCAUGCUGAGCUUAAUCUCUGCAGCAUGCUCUGUGCUUCUCAUCUCUUCCUGAUGCACUGCAUGGUCAGCUCUCUAAUUGCAAGCUCCCUGAAGGGCCAUCUUCAGCACUACACAUUGUAUAUCCCUAUAUUGCUGAUACUGAACAUCAGUUCCUACCAGCUCUAUGGUAGAUAUUAUCCUGAAGGGGAGGAUAAAGAAACUGACCACCAAGAUGGUAAUCACUAGUGGAAAUGAAGAAGAUAAAGGCAGUCAAGAAAAGGAAAGCAAAGAAGAAACCAUCUUGGCAAUGCUUGGAAUUAUUGGGACAAUUCUGAACCUCAUUGUGAUCAUUUUUGUGUACAUUUACACAACGUUGUAAACUAGCAGGCAUGCAAAUAGAACAGAUAAAAUGGCCAUUAAGAGUGAUGACAAACAUUGCUGACUAUUGACAAGUUCUUUAAUCAGAAUUGACUCUGUAUUAUAUUAACACAUCAUAAAAGCACUGCCUGCAGGCAGUGAAGGCUGAAGCACAAUUAAUUUAGCAAGACUUCUUCACACAGUAACAAGCUAAACUCUUCUGUCCUACCCUCUUCCUUUCGCUUUGGUUUUCAGUUUUGGGGAAAAAAUGACUGCAAUUAUGUAAGUUGUAGCUUUGAAGAAAUCCACUGGGGUUAUGUUGUUUUAACACAAUUAAAAAAAAAAAAAAAAAAAAAAAAAAGAAAGAAAAUAAACUGUACACAAUAUCAAUUAAAAAUGUAUAC